UUUUGGACAAUGGACGAAAGUCUGAUCCAGCCAUUCCGCGUGCAGGACGAAGGCCUUCGGGUUGUAAACUGCUUUUGUACAGAACGAAAAAGUUUCUAUUAAUACUAGGAGCUCAUGACGGUACUGUAAGAAUAAGCACCGGCUAACUACGUGCCAGCAGCCGCGGUAAUACGUAGGGUGCAAGCGUUAAUCGGAAUUACUGGGCGUAAAGCGUGCGCAGGCGGUUAUGUAAGACAGAUGUGAAAUCCCCGGGCUCAACCUGGGAACUGCAUUUGUGACUGCAUAGCUGGAGUGCGGCAGAGGGGGAUGGAAUUCCGCGUGUAGCAGUGAAAUGCGUAGAUAUGCGGAGGAACACCGAUGGCGAAGGCAAUCCCCUGGGCCUGCACUGACGCUCAUGCACGAA
rnacentral:rRNA from 1 species